AUGUUGGAGGCUUCUGGAGCUGAAGGAGGAUGUGAAGGCCCACACUGGCUGUCCAGUUAAAUGGCAGGAAGGUGCAGCCCUUGCCCCUCACUCCCAGUAGAUGGGUAUACUGAGAAGUUAGAUCAGUGGUUGGAUGCCUGACACUCGCUGCAGUCACUUCUGAAGCUGAGGCCAAGUGGAAGUAUUGGGAGCAUGACAGUUAUCCACAAUAAUAGCAAGCAAAUGGGAGCUCAGUUUGGGCAGUGGACCAUCCGCCGAAAGGAAAUGAGCUGCAGCUGAACUCAAUUCUAAACUGAGCUACGUUGGAUCACGAUGCCUGCUCUCUCUGUCCUGCCCCCACCUCUUCCCCAUUUCUAAGUUCCAGGUCCAAAAAAAAAAUAAGGCUGGGCAUCUCUAUCAGAUGCAAGGGAAAUGAACCACCCUGAAGGCAUUUGGCCACCUCAGCGUCAGAAACAACUAACCCUCAGGUGUCUGUAAUGUUCUGUGACCGCCUUCUCGGCAAGCCUAGCCCACCCUCAGCUCACCUGUUCCUGGAAGCUACUUCCUCUGGAGGUUCUUAGAAGAAACCAUGAAUGUGCAUGUGUGUAGUACAUGUGUGGAACUCAGAGAACAGCUUGUGAGACUCAGCUCUCUCCUAUCACGUGGAGUUCAACUGUUGACCCAGCUCCUCAGCUCCCUGUAAUAAUUUGCUAAAAGGCAGAGGUAAGCUGAUCACCUCUCCUUCCUGGCUGCAGACAACACAAGGCCAGCUGCCCUACGCGUCACUCCCAGGCCUCCCCACCAUGAUGCACACUCACGAGUCAAAUAAACUUUCCUUCCUUAAUUGUAUUUGUAGGGGAUUUUCUCGUAGCCAUGAGAAAAUUGGCCCACACUCCCAUCCACCACUGCCCCCUUUUCUCUGUGUCUUC